rnacentral:rRNA from 1 species
UGGGGAAUAUUGGACAAUGGGGGCAACCCUGAUCCAGCGAUGCCGCGUGUGUGAAGAAGGCCUGCGGGUUGUAAAGCACUUUCGGUGGUGAGGAUUGUGUUUAAGGUGAUAAGCCUUAGACAUUGACGUUAGCCACAUAAGAAGCACCGGCAAACUCUGUGCCAGCAGCCGCGGUAAUACAGAGGGUGCAAGCGUUAAUCGGAAUUACUGGGCGUAAAGGGCGCGUAGGUUGGAAUAUAAGUCAAAUGUGAAAGCCCCGGGCUUAACCUGGGAAUUGCAUAUGAAACUGUAUUUCUAGAGUGGAGUAGAGGGCAGUGGAAUUUCCGGUGUAGCGGUGAAAUGCGUAGAUAUCGGAAGGAACACCAGUGGCGAAGGCGGCUGCCUGGACUCUAACUGACACUGAGGCGCGAAAGCGUGGGGAGCGAACAGGAUUAGAUACCCCCGUAGUCC